rnacentral:misc_RNA from 1 species
AAGUCGUAACAAGGUUUCCGUAGGUGAACCUGCGGAAGGAUCAUUCCCCUUAAAAGCAAAAAUAUACUCUAUUGGUGAAAACUGUAUGUGGAUGAUAUUUACUAUCCUCACAAAUUCUUUCUCUUUUUUUUUUAAACAAAAACUAAACUAUUAAAUUAAUAAUGUUUUUUAACCGAAACAUUGUUGAGUUCUUUCUUGGCCUUUACCGGUCCUGAAGGGAUUUUUAAUUUAACCAAAAACUUUUAUUAUAAAAUUAAAAAACAAUAACAAAAGAACAACUCUUAACAAUGGAUAUCUCGGCUCUUGC